rnacentral:rRNA from 1 species
UGAGGAAUAUUGGUCAAUGGGCGAGAGCCUGAACCAGCCAAGUAGCGUGCAGGACGACGGCCCUAUGGGUUGUAAACUGCUUUUAUGUGGGAAUAAAGUGAGGGACGUGUCCCUUAUUGCAUGUACCAUACGAAUAAGGACCGGCUAAUUCCGUGCCAGCAGCCGCGGUAAUACGGAAGGUCCAGGCGUUAUCCGGAUUUAUUGGGUUUAAAGGGAGCGUAGGCUGUUUGUUAAGCGUGUUGUGAAAUGUAGGAGCUCAACUUUUAGAUUGCAGCGCGAACUGGCAGACUUGAGUGCGCACAACGUAGGCGGAAUUCAUGGUGUAGCGGUGAAAUGCUUAGAUAUCAUGACGAACUCCGAUUGCGAAGGCAGCUUACGGGAGCGCAACUGACGCUAAAGCUCGAAGGUGCGGGUAUCGAACAGG